GUUGGUGGAGCGAUUUGUCUGGUUAAUUCCGAUAACGAACGAGACUCUAGCCGGCUAAUUAGUUGACCGGGUGCGUUGCACCGCGGUGCUUACAAAGUGUAAAAUACUUCUUAGAGGGACAGGUGGCGAGAAGUCACACGAGAUUGAGCAAUAACAGGU
rnacentral:rRNA from 1 species